CCUACGGGAGGCAGCAGUGAGGAAUAUUGGUCAAUGGGCGCGAGCCUGAACCAGCCAAGUCGCGUGAAGGAUGACUGCCCUACGGGUUGUAAACCUCUUUUAUAAGGGAGCAAAGAGAGGGACGCGUCCCGUUUUGAGUGUACCUGAAGAAUAAGCCUCGGCUAACUCCGUUCCAGCAGCCGCGGUAAUACGGAGGAUCCGAGCGUUAUCCGGAUUUAUUGGGUUUAAAGGGAGCGUAGGUGGGUGGUUAAGUCAGUUGUGAAAGUCGGGGGCUCAACCGUCAGAUUGCAGUUGAUACUGGCAGUCUUGAGUACAGGAGAGGUAGGCGGAAGUCGUGGUGUAGCGGUGAAAUGCAUAGAUAUCACGAAGAACUCCGAUUGCGAAGGCAGCUUA
rnacentral:rRNA from 1 species